CUCAACAAGCAGUGAUGUGCUUGAAUCAAAUGCUCUCAGCCAGAAUGUUCCAUUUCCACGAUUGUGUCCGAAGAAAGUUCCUUGACCUGAAAGGUUAAUUCUGGUUCUCCCACCAGAGAUGCUGCCAGACCUGUUGAGUACUUCCAGCAUUUUCCAGCAUUUUUAUUUCCGAACAACUCUUCAUCUGACUCUCGCUGAACUUGCAACAUCUCAAAUUAAAUGCUCUUCAGAGUUCUCCAUGACUUUGUUGUGUUCGGUGCAAUUGUGCACUUCCCAAGUUCAUAAGUUCAUAAAGGGGAACAUAAGUCACUGCCCGGGUGGCAAUAGGAAUGUAGCUGAUCAUGGUGGCCCAUAUCUAAAUUCCCCAAAAGGAUGUGAUUUUUUUUUGGAGUUCAACUCUCAUAUCAUGUGACUGUGCCUGGUUGAUUGCUGAUUCUUAUGCUGCCAUACAACAUCUAUUAAUGGGGAUGCAGGUGGUGCACACAGCAGUCCAUUAAUAAGUUACAUUGCACUGUACAUUGACAAUAAGUUCACAGAGCUUUAUGCAGUCAUGGAGGUUUUCUGUUACUGAUAUCAAUCACAUACUGUAAUGCAAAAACAAAUGUCUUUUUGGCUUGUAUUAAAUAGUGUCGCAUGAAAAAAC